GAUGAACGCUGGCGGCGCGCCUAAUACAUGCAAGUCGAGCGAACGGACGAGAAGCUUGCUUCUCUGAUGUUAGCGGCGGACGGGUGAGUAACACGUGGAUAACCUACCUAUAAGACUGGGAUAACUUCGGGAAACCGGAGCUAAUACCGGAUAAUAUUUUGAACCGCAUGGUUCAAAAGUGAAAGACGGUCUUGCUGUCACUUAUAGAUGGAUCCGCGCUGCAUUAGCUAGUUGGUAAGGUAACGGCUUACCAAGGCAACGAUGCAUAGCCGACCUGAGAGGGUGAUCGGCCACACUGGAACUGAGACACGGUCCAGACUCCUACGGGAGGCAGCAGUAGGGAAUCUUCCGCAAUGGGCGAAAGCCUGACGGAGCAACGCCGCGUGAGUGAUGAAGGUCUUCGGAUCGUAAAACUCUGUUAUUAGGGAAGAACAUAUGUGUAAGUAACUGUGCACAUCUUGACGGUACCUAAGCAGAAAGCCACGGCUAACUACGU
rnacentral:rRNA from 1 species